rnacentral:lncRNA from 12 species
GAAGCUAGUUAAAAAGCCUAGCAGGGACGCUUGCAAACCAUCAUCCAAAGCACAACAUAUGUUGAUGCCCUGCAGGGACUCAGUCAGGUUUUAGAGUUAGGUUUGAGUUAUGCGUAAGAUUGGGGUUAGGAGCAUUGACAAAUCUUAUCAAUCUAUAACCUGCCCUCUGAAUUUAAUGGUUAAGGUUAAGGUUUUGUUUGUUUUACAGGAAUAUUGUUCCAGGCCCGUCCAAAGAUCCAAAUUGGAAUUUGUCCUACAUUACCUGGCAAAGUCCUACUUGGCAAAAUCGCAACAACCCUGCUGUAGAAGCUCAUGGCCCUUGUUCUUCAUCCUGAAUGCAAAUGGGGGACAAGAAACCAGUGUAGAGAGUGAAAGUAAAGACGAAGAAGAGAAAGGUUUCAAUUUCUGACGGAGUCAUGAAAACCCAAUUAAGCCACUCCACAAAGAAACAUCAAGUGCUUUCACACGGCGGCCGCAUGCCUGUGGGAAUUUGAGUAAGUUCAAUUACUUUGGGAUUAAUUCGGGGUCACGAGGGUCCGUUUGUAGAAUUCUGUUCAGAGAGAGCGAGGAAAAUUAGUAGAUGGAGGAGUGGAGGUCUCACUGGUAUUUAGUGCUGCAGGUUUGACAGAGACACCAAAGCUGCUGUAUCUACUGUAACGAAGAAUGAGGUCAAGUGCUAAAGAAUGUCUAAACACUCAAGACAGUAGCAAAUAUUAUUUGGGAUUCUUUGAAACAAGCUUGACAAGUCUGUGCUAUCCUCAUUGAGUUUGCCAUGCUGUCUUCCCACCUAGAAUUUUUGCUUAUAGGCCUAAAAAAUGUAUAUUUUACAAUAAAGACAUUCUUGUUCAUGAAAACAUUUUUUUCCCCUCUAGUGUUGAAGCUGUAAGAUUCCUAUUCUAGAUAGCAC